UACGGAGGGUGCAAACGUUGCUCGGAAUCAUUGGGCGUAAAGCGCACGUAGGCGGUCCUGCAAGUCGGGUGUGAAAGCCCUCGGCUCAACCGAGGAAGUGCAUCCGAAACUGCAGAACUUGAGUAGUGAAGAGGGUCUCGGAAUUCCCGGUGUAGAGGUGAAAUUCGUAGAUAUCGGGAGGAACACCAGUGGCGAAGGCGGAGACCUGGGCACAUACUGACGCUGAGGUGCGAAAGCGUGGGGAGCAAACAGGG
rnacentral:rRNA from 1 species